GCCCUGCUCGGACUCAGUGGCCAAGGUAUCACUGCAUGUGCUGACCUAGAUCGUCUUCUGCUACUAGAGGAAUGACAGUGUCCCUAGAACGGGGAGGAAGCGACAUCUGACAGUGGACGCUGCAUUUCUGCACCGCCUCCGGGAGGAGCCCGCACUGUCCCAGUGCUGCCGGAGGAAGCAACAAGAGCUCAGUGAUUCACAGAGAACCUUAUUCAGUAAAAGAGCUGCAGUCUUGACACUCCUGAUGUGUUGUCAGAGGCCCUGCUCAGCUGAUUGCUUAUAAUGUCUGAGAUGAUGGAAACGGGGAUGCAACAGCUGAGAGAAUGGGCUGGAGACGCUUGUCAUAACUUUAUCUGUGGGAAGCUCUUGUCGGCUGGGUGAUGGACGACCGAAAGUCGGGGCUGAAUGCACGUCCCAGCUCGGCUUCGUUCGCUUGCUGAGCUACUGUGCAGGUGAUAAAUGAGUUUGUGGGAAGAGCCCUGGGGGGGAGGGAGGAGAUUCCAGGGGAGUAGUGCGAGUCGCCAGCACCUUUCCGUGUUUCCUUGGUAGCCGUGGGAUGUCCUAACGUAAGUAAGUGACAUUCGCUGGUGGAAUAGGCAGAACAGCCAUUGCAUGUUGGGGCUCCCCUCACCCCCACAAGGCUCACUGUCCCACUGUCUGCUGGCUGGCUGGGACAGCCCGGCCUGCCACGAAGGCUGCAAUCUUUGGGUGCAGUCCUGGCCCCACUGAGGUCAUGGCAAAACUCCCAUUGACUUCCAUGGGGGCCACUGCGUCGCCCCUCGAGUCUUCAUCUCUGCAGACCUGCCUGUAAACUUGCACAAGGAAAGCAAGUGAGGGGCGGGCUCAGCCUAGUCCCCGGCCGGCAGGGUGUGUGUCUGCUUUGCAAAACGCCUGGCACCGUCUGACACUAUUCCUGCUCUCUGGCCAGAGAAGAGCCAGCGCUGGACCAGCAGGCAGGUCCCUUGUACGGCUGAGGAGCUCUGAGCUUGCCAUGCGCCUGCUCGCAGGCGCUGUCCGGUUUAUGCUGCUGCUGUAACAGCAGCGCUGUUCAGUCUCUCACCUCCAAGAGAACUCAUCGUAGUUCCUUUCAUUCCUUCCCCAGGGGAGACCUUGGAGCCUGAAUGGCAGGAGCUGUUUUUCAUCCCUCUGGCUCGGGCCCUGUUUGUGUGCCCCUGACUCUGCUGUUUAGCUGCUGGUGACAAAUCAAAGCCCUCGCCCUGCAAGCUGCUCCACAUGGGCACGGAGCUCUGCCUGUGGGAGCCGCUUGCAGGAUCAGGGGUUGGUGCCAGGGCGGGGCUGGGAGGUGUAUGAAUGCCGAGUCCCUGGAGAGACUUGGCAUUUCCCUCUGUCUGGGGAAGCAGCUUCUCUGUGCAAGCAAACCACACCCAUCCCCCACGGAGAGACAUUGUUUUAGGCUAUGCAGAGAGCUCCUGACUCGCUGCGUUUUCAGGGGUAGACAGCAGAGGCCCUGCUCCCCCAAGCCUUUAGUUGAAUUGUACUUGGCAUUUCUACCACACCUUUCAGCUGAGGAUUUCAAAGCGCUUCCAUACAGGUGGGUACAUAGCAUUAUCUCCAUUUUACAGAUGAGGAAAUCUGAUGCUCAGAGAGGUUAGGUGAUAUGCCACACAGGAAACCAGUGAGAGGUAGGAAUAGAACCCAGGUCUCCUGGUUCCCAGUCCUCUGGUUUAACUACUAGACACUCUGCCUUUCUUCCAGCAGCUGACCUACUUGUUACAGAAGUGGGGCCACUAUAAUUUCUGGAGUAACCCCAUUGUCUUUAGGGGAUUUGUACCAAGGAUGGAUUGGUCCAUGGUUGUGCUCCUUUGGACGCUCUCAGUCAUGAGCCCAUGAAUCAACACUCCUUCCCUCAAGCAUGAAAAAUGCUUCUACUUCUCAGUGCAUUUGGCUGCUCUCUGCUGGCAUCCAGACCAGGCUCCAGUUCUGAUCCCAGGACCAAGGGCACAUUGCUUCCUCCAGCCCUACAUUCCCCUGGCGUUUCUUUUUACUCCGUUUUGUUUCUGUAUUUGUUUUUAAUUUGAUAUUUUGUCCCCAUGCUCCAGCUCCCUUUAUUGGAUAAAAACACUGCGUUAUUGAAUCCUGCCCUGCGGCAGCUGGGACAGAAUUCAGUUUUGCAGACAGCAAUAAGGUUGUUUUGGAGCCUUAUUUGGCCAGGCAGAGUGUGAGAUGGGAACAUGUCCAAGAGCGGCUCUGGUAACUGAUGACAGUUGCUUCACUGACACUUGCAUUGUCCUGUGCAUCAUGGUUUCACCCUCUGCCUUCCCAGCACACUUCAGAGAUCUUAGUAUUAGGGAACCAAUGGCAAGACAAUAAAAGCAAAAGCAAGGAAGCCCCCUGGUUAUUUUGAAAAGCUGAUGGGAGACGAGCAGAAUCUCUCGGCGACAGAGGGUCUACAAAGAGGUGGGGUUUGAGCCCCCCAAAAAGCCUGGGUCCUAAUCCAGUCUCUGAGACUGACUCCUGCUGUGGCCUCCCUUUUCUUCUUCAGUUUCCCAAUCUGUAAAAUCAGAAUGAUGCUACUUACCCACCUUUCUUUCAGGGGUUUCUGCAAGGAUGAAAUAGUGUCUGUAAGGUACUUGGGAGCUGGCAAGCGCUGUCUAAAUGCAAACAAUUAGUAGAGCUGCUAUUUGCAGUUUAUGAAUUAGUAACAACCUCUCUCUGCCUCACUUUCCCCACCUGCAAGAUGGGCAUAGGAAGGCUCGGAGUCUGCAAAGAUUUACCCAUGUGCUGGACUUCACACACUUCCCCUUAAUGUCCAAGCGUGUAAGUCUCUGCAGGAUAUGGGUCAAUACUUACCUAAUUAAAUCUCACAGCCCCUCUGUAAGGUAAUCUCUGUGUGUAAACCACGGUGAGAUCUUUGGGUGAACUAUAUGCCCAAAGUAUUAUUACACAGUGAAAGGAAAAACAUCAUUUUAGGCAGAUAAUAUCAUUCAACAGGAACAAAAGCAACAAAAGAGGAGACAAGGGAAGUUAGAGCAACAAAACAUAAUGGCACUUUGAAUACAAAAGUGAAUGUUGUCUGAGGUUCGUACGUAUGCCAGGUUUAUGCUCCUGUCUGUACACUGAGGGUCGGCUCUUACCUCUUUAUGUACUUUAUUUUGCAACUCUGUAUGUCUUAUUUAUUAGCAUCACUUGUCAAGCUUUCCAAUAACUGUAUCAUGCUCACAAGUAUAUGUCAAUACUCAUAGAAUGACUGUGUUUUGCCUUCACAGCUGGAGAAUUAUCUGAAUACUCAAUAAAAGAAAGGCAGAGGAUCCAAUAAUUAUCCUUUACUUGUCUCUUCUUUAGAGUGCAGAUUUGUUGAGUUAAUUUUGUCGUGACUGCUAUCUCCUAGACUUUAUUGAAACAACAGGGGAUGCUAGGGGCUUCUUUCUUGGAAAAUGUUAUAUAUAUUUUUAAUUUCAUGACUGUCCUUAGAGUAGACACCUGCUGAGAUAACUGUAAUAGCUACUGUGUUAUGCUACAAAAGAUUUUUACCUCAAAGCUGAUUUUUAAAG